AUUGACAUCGUAGCAACUUUCGGCAAGACAAAUGACUCAGAUGGUCUCUGCUUCCUUUUUUAAUCCUUGAGGCCGACCUAUUCACUUUCGGAGGAGCUGACCGCCUUGGAAGAGACGGAGCUUCAAUUGCAACAUUCCAGACAAAGUGAGGCGAAUCUUCAAAUGGCGUAUGGCGGUGUAAACGGCCUGAUUUUCUCCAUAUGGAUUGUGUAUGAAUCAUUCAAGGGAUUUUAGGUAAAAUACAUCAGAAUCCAAUAUCUAAGAGAUGAAAUGAAUACUGCAUUAACUAACAGGGAUUGAGUGGAAGUUUUUUUAGUACAGGGAAACCAACUUUAAAAUAGAAAUGCGCUAGAAUGUUGUAUGAUUAGGCGAUAUGAGGAAUAAGCACCAGCUGAAAGAUAUGAAGAGUAAACACCAGCUGAAAGCUCUGCUUCCUGAACACAAAUGCUGCCAUUAAGCAUAAGGAUUGACUUCAAGUAAGGAUGAGAAACUUCUCUUACACAUGAAUAAUAUGACAUAAAUAGAUAAUGAUGCAUUGAGGAGGUGGCUUAAAGAUUGUAAUAAUACCAGCAGAGUUUGAAAGUUUGUCUUAAUUGAUUUUUAACUUUUUUAAUAUGUCGAGAUAGUGAAAGGUGAUCUUUAACUUUUUUAAAAUCAUUAUUAUUAUAAUAAUGUGAUAGUUGCAAAAUGGUUUUAGAUGGUUUGUGAAUCUAAAUCCACAAAUUUGUAUUGCCAUUUGAUCUUAUUUUUUGUCUUGAACAUUUGUGUAACAUAACUAUUUCAUUAGUUGAACUUUAUGUUAAACAAAAAUAAAGUUGAGGGUACCAAUCAGCUUUUUCAUUGGACAAAAGCUUAAUAUUAAAUAACCAUUACAAUAUCCAAUGUGCAUUUAAAAAGUUCAUAAACAUUGAUAAAUGGUAAUUUUAUAUAUUUUUAUCCUUUUAAUUUAGACUUUUAAAUAUUUAUUUAAGACUAAUUGAGUUUAAUUAGAUAUUAUUUGAUUUUAUUAGCCAAUAUUCAGUUUUAAAAUUUUAACUAUCUAAAUUUAUGAUUUUAAAAGAUAAAUUAUAUCUUU